rnacentral:rRNA from 1 species
GACGAACGCUGGCGGCGUGCCUAAUACAUGCAAGUUGAGCGCUGAAGGUUGGUACUUGUACCAACUGGAUGAGCAGCGAACGGGUGAGUAACGCGUGGGGAAUCUGCCUUUGAGCGGGGGACAACAUUUGGAAACGAAUGCUAAUACCGCAUAAAAACUUUAAACACAAGUUUUAAGUUUGAAAGAUGCAAUUGCAUCACUCAAAGAUGAUCCCGCGUUGUAUUAGCUAGUUGGUGAGGUAAAGGCUCACCAAGGCGAUGAUACAUAGCCGACCUGAGAGGGUGAUCGGCCACAUUGGGAAUGAGACAAGGCCCAAACUCCUACGGGAGGCAGCAGUAGGGAAUCUUCGGAAAUGGACGAAAGUCUGACCGAGCAACGCCGCGUGAGUGAAGAAGGUUUUCGGAUCGUAAAACUCUGUUGGUAGAGAAGAACGUUGGUGAGAGUGGAAAGCUCAUCAAGUGACGGUAACUACCCAGAAAGGGACGGCUAACUACGUG